rnacentral:rRNA from 1 species
AUUGAACGCUGGCGGCAGGCCUAACACAUGCAAGUCGAGCGGAGCGGCGGACGGGUGAGUAAUGCCUAGGAAUCUGCCUGGUAGUGGGGGAUCACGUCCGGAAACGGGCGCUAAUACCGCAUAAUAUCAGAUGAGCCUAGGUCGGGUGUGUUAGUUGGGGGGGUAAAUGCCUACCAAGGCGACGAUCCGUAACGUGUCUGAGAGGAUGAUCAGUCACAAUGGAACUGAGACACGGGCCAGACUCCUACGUGAGGCAGCAGUGGGGAAUAUUGGACAAAGGUCGAAAGCCUGAUCCAGCCAUGCCUGGUGUGUGAAGAAGGUCUUCGGAUUGUAAAGCACUUUAAGUUGGGAGGCGUUACCAACAGAAUAAGCACCGGCUAACUUCGUUCCAGCAGCCGCGGUAAUUC